rnacentral:rRNA from 1 species
UACAGAGGUGGCAAGCGUUGUUCGGAAUUACUGGGCGUAAAGGGCGCGUAGGCGGUCUUGUAAGUCUCGUGUGAAAUCCCUCGGCUUAACUGAGGAACUGCACGGGAUACUGCUUGACUUGAGUUCGGGAGAGGGAAGCGGAAUUCCCGGUGUAGUGGUGGAAUGCGUAGAUAUCGGGGGGAAUACCAGUGGCGAAAGCGGCACCCUAGCGUUAGCCUGACGCUCAUGUGCGAAAGCGUGGGGAGCGAACGGG